GAUGAAGAACGUAGCGAAAUGCGAUAAGUAAUGUGAAUUGCAGAAUUCAGUGAAUCAUCGAAUCUUUGAACGCACCUUGCGCCUUUUGGUAUUCCGAAAGGCACACCUGUUUGAGCGUCAUGAAUACCCCAAUCUCCAUCUUUUCUUCGGAUUGAUGGGUGACUUGGAUGUUGAGCCCUGCUGGUAUGCUAUAUCAGCUGGCUUUAAACUUAUUAGCCGGCUCUGUACUGGAUCGGUUUGACUCGACGUGAUAAUAUUAUCGUUGAGGAUGCAUGUCUCAUGCAGCCGGAAAGUAUCAAAGCAGCUUCUAGCUUGCCUUUAGUGCACUUUUACAUUUUAGACCUCAGAUCAGGUGGGACUACCCGCUGAACUUAAGCAUAUCAAUAAGCGGAGGA
rnacentral:misc_RNA from 1 species